rnacentral:rRNA from 1 species
AGAGUUUGAUCCUGGCUCAGGACGAACGCUGGCGGCGUGCCUAACACAUGCAAGUCGAGCGGGGAACCCCUUCGGGGGUUUUCAGCGGCGGACGGGUGAGUAACGCGUGAGCAACCUUUCCUUCACAGGGGGAUAACGCAGCGAAAGCUGUGCUAAUACCGCUUGAGACCACAGAGUCGCAUGGCUAGGGGUCAAAGGAGCAAUCCGGUGAAGGGUGGGCUCGCGUCUGAUUAGCUAGUUGGCGGGGUAACGGCCCACCAAGGCAACGAUCAGUAGCCGACCUGAGAGGGUGAUCGGCCACACUGGGACUGAGACACGGCCCAGACUCCUACGGGAGGCAGCAGUGGGGAAUAUUGGGCAAUGGGGGAAACCCUGACCCAGCAACGCCGCGUGAGGGAAGAAGGUUUUCGGAUCGUAAACCUCUGUCCUCAGGGACGAAAAAAUGACGGUACCUGAGGAGGAAGCCCCGGCUAACUACGUGCCAGCAGCCGCGGUAAUACGUAGGGGGCAAGCGUUACUCGGAAUUAUUGGGCGUAAAGGGCGCGUAGGCGGUCUCGUGCGUCAGGGGUGAAAUCCCCGGGCUUAACCCGGGACGUGCCUCUGAUACGGCGAGACUUGAGUCCGGGAGAGGGGAGCAGAAUUCCCAGUGUAGCGGUGAAAUGCGUAGAUAUUGGGAGGAAUGCCAGUGGCGAAGGCGGCUCCCUGGACCGGUACUGACGCUGAGGCGCGAAAGCGUGGGUAGCAAACAGGAUUAGAUACCCUGGUAGUC